rnacentral:lncRNA from 1 species
CAGCGAUGAUAGGUUUGACGGCUCUACGGCUUUCUUCACCAAACAACGCCUGCUUCCCAACCCCAACAACUGCAGGAAGAAGACAUGUACAUGUUCCGAUAGGAUUAGUACGGCCAGUACGAGCCACCGUCAAUUCAAGCGAAGAUGAGGUCGAAGAUGAGGUCGUAGAUGUCAAAGAUGUCGAUGAAGUAGAGUUAGAAGUAGAAACAGAAGAGAAAUCUAAGCAGUCGGUGCUAGAGGCACUGGAUUUCUCAGAGGUAAGAUCUUCCGACGAUGCAAAGCUCCUAAACGAAGCGAGAGAAACUACCGGUUCCGGC